rnacentral:snRNA from 1 species
GUGCUCGCUUCAGCAGCGCAUAUACUAAAAUUGGAAAGAUAUAGAGAAGAUUAGCAUGGCCCCUGCACAAGGAUGACACGCAAAUUCGUGAAGCGUUCCAUCUUCUU